GAAAAUCUCCUCUCUCCUCUCUCUGCUCCCUCCUCUUCUCCCUUUUCCUUCGGUUUCUUUUAUGGCAGUUUCUCCUAGGGUCAGGGUUUCAGAUCCGUCAUGGGAAAUUCCGGUCCCAAAAUACAAACGGGCUCUAGUCGAAUUACGCCAGCGAAAAAACAACGCCUUCCACCUCUCUAUUCUAAAGCCAACCAAACGGUAUUCAUUCAGCUCAUUGUUACUUUUUUUUUAUUAUUAUGUUUCUGUUUUAUUUUAAGGAACAGAUUGAUUGGUUAUCUGGCAAGGCAAUGAGGUAUUCUAUGUAAAAAGCUUUGCAAAAAGGGUUAAUGGUGCAUCUAGUGCCCCUGUUCUCUGAUUUUUCUUGUUUUGGCCCCUUUAGAUAAUUGUUUUGCACAGAAUGCUUUUUACUGCAGCCAUGACUUCUCAUGUUCUUUACUUAUGAUCGUAUGGUAAGAAAGAAAUACUAGCCUCACCGUGUUCCUUUUAUUGAAAUGCGUUGGAAAUUAAGAAUAUGAUAUGGUCACGAUUUCUUCAGUGUUAUUGUUUUUCUAUGAUCUUCAUCCUUGUAUUCCUAUAAAAAGAAAGGUAAUGCACUGAGGCUAAGAUGAUAUUUUUUAUGGAAAUUUCAUACAUAUUGUUUUAAGGAACAAAGUGAUUGGUUAUUUGGCAAGGCAAUGCGGUGUUCUGUGCAAAAAGAAUUAAUGGCAUUAUAUAGUCCUUCUGUUUUCUGAUUUUUCCUGUUCUGGUCCCUUUAAAUAAUUGUUUUGCACAGAAUGCCUUUUACUGCAGCCAUGACUUCUCAUGUUUUUUACUUAUGAUCAUAUGGUCAAAGGGGAAUCCUAGCCUCACCGUGUUCCUUUUAUUGAAAUGCGUUGGAAAUUAAGAAUAUGGUCACUAUUUCUUUAAUGUUAUUGUUUUUUCAUGAUCUUCAUCCUUGUUUUCCUAUAAAAAGAAAGGUAAUGCACUGAGGUUAAGAUGAUUUUUUUUACGGAAAGUUCAUACAUAUUGUUUUAAGGAACAAAUUGAUUGGUUAUUUGGCAAGGCAAUGAGGUGUUCUGUGCAAAAAGAAUUGAUGGCGUAUUAAGUCCCUCUGUUUUCUGAUUUUUCCUGUUCUGGUCCCUUUAAAUAAUUGUUUUGCACAGAAUGCCUUUUACUGCAGCCAUGACUUCUCAUGUUCUUUACUUAUGAUCAUAUGGUCAAAGGGGAAUCCUAGCCUCACCGUGUUCCUUUUAUUGAAAGGCGUUGGAAAUUAAGAAUAUGGUCACUAUUUCUUUAGUGUUAUUGUUUUUUCAUGAUCUUCAUCCUUGUUUUCCUAUAAAAAGAAAGGUAAUGCACUGAGGCUAAGAUGAUAUUUUUUACGGAAAGUUUCAUACAUGUUGUUUUAAGGAACAAAUUGAUUGGUUAUUUGGCAAGGCAAUGAGGUGUUCUGUGCAAAAAGAAUUGAUGGUGUAUAAAGUCCCUCUGUGUUCUGAUUUUUCCUGUUCUGGUCCCUUUAAAUAAUUGUUUUGCACAGAAUGCCUUUUACUGAAGCCAUGACUACUCAUGUUCUUUACUUAUGAUCAUAUGGUCAAAAGGGAAUCCUAGCCUCACCGUGUUCCUUUUAUUGAAAUGCGUUGGAAAUUAUGAAUAUGGUCACUAUUUCUUUAGUGUUCUUGUUUUUUCAUGAUCUUCAUCCUUCUUUUCCUAUAAAAAGAAAGGUAAUGCACUGAGGUUAAGAUGAUUUUUUUACGGAAAGUUUCAUACAUAUUGUUUUAAGGGACAAAUUGAUUGGUUAUUUGGCAAGGCAAUGAGGUGUUCUGUGCAAAAAGAAUUGAUGGCAUAUAAAGUCCCUCUGUUUUCUGAUUUUUCCUGUUCUGGUCCCUUUAAAUAAUUGUUUUGCACAGAAUGCCUUUUACUGCAGCCAUGACUUCUCAUGUUCUUUACUUAUGAUCAUAUGGUCAAAGGGGAAUCCUAGCCUCACCGUGUUCCUUUUAUUGAAACGCGUUGGAAAUUAAGAAUAUGGUCACUAUUUCUUUAAUGUUAUUGUUUUUUCAUGAUCUUCAUCCUUGUUUUCCUAUAAAAAGAAAGGUAAUGCACUGAGGCUAAGAUGAUUUUUUUACGGAAAGUUUCAUACAUGUUGUUUUAAGGAACAAAUUGAUUGGUUAUUUGGCAAGGCAAUGAGGUGUUCUGUGCAAAAAGAAUUGAUGGUGUAUAAAGUCCCUCUGUGUUCUGAUUUUUCCUGUUCUGGUCCCUUUAAAUAAUUGUUUUGCACAGAAUGCCUUUUACUGAAGCCAUGACUACUCAUGUUUUUUACUUAUGAUCAUAUGGUCAAAAGGGAAUCCUAGCCUCACCGUGUUCCUUUUAUUGAAAUGCGUUGGAAAUUAUGAAUAUGGUCACUAUUUCUUUAGUGUUCUUGUUUUUUCAUGAUCUUCAUCCUUCUUUUCCUAUAAAAAGAAAGGUAAUGCACUGAGGUUAAGAUGAUUUGUUUUACGGAAAGUUUCAUACAUAUUGUUUUAAGGGACAAAUUGAUUGGUUAUUUGGCAAGGCAAUGAGGUGUUCUGUGCAAAAAGAAUUGAUGGCAUAUAAAGUCCCUCUGUUUUCUGAUUUUUCCUGUUCUGGUCCCUUUAAAUAAUUGUUUUGCACAGAAUGCCUUUUACUGCAGCCAUGACUUCUCUUCUUUACUUAUGAUCAUAUGGUCAAGGGGAUCCUAGCCUCACCGUGUUCCUUUUAUUGAAACGCGUUGGAAAUUAAGAAUAUGGUCACUAUUUCUUUAAUGUUAUUGUUUUUUCAUGAUCUUCAUCCUUGUUUUCCUAUAAAAAGAAAGGUAAUGCACUGAGGCUAAGAUGAUAUUUUUUACGGAAAGUUUCAUACAUGUUGUUUUAAGGAACAAAUUGAUUGGUUAUUUGGCAAGGCAAUGAGGUGUUCUGUGCAAAAAGAAUUGAUGGUGUAUAAAGUCCCUCUGUGUUCUGAUUUUUCCUGUUCUUGUCCCUUUAAAUAAUUGUUUUGCACAGAAUGCCUUUUAUUGCAGCCAUGAUUUCUCAUAUUUUUUACUUAUGAUCAUAUGGUCAAAAGGGAAUCCUAGCCUCACCGUGUUCCUUUUAUUGAAAUGCGUUGGAAAUUAAGAAUAUGGUCACAAUUUCUUUAGUGUUAUUGUUUUUUCAUGAUCUUCAUCCUUGGUUUCCUAUAAAAAGAAAGGUAAUGCACUGAGGCUAUGAUGAUAUUUUUUACGGAAAGUUCAUACAUAUUGUUUUAAGGAACAAAUUGAUUGGUUAUUUGGCAAGGCAAUGAGGUGUUCUGUGCAAAAAGAAUUGAUGGCGUAUUAGUCCCUCUGUUUUCUGAUUUUUCCUGUUCUGGUCCCUUUAGAUAAUUGUUUUGCACAGAAUGCCUUUUACUGCAGCCAUGACUUCUCAUGUUCUUUACUUGUGAUCAUAUGGUCAAAGGGGAAUCCUAGCCUCACCGUGUUCCUUUUAUUGAAAUGCGUUGGAAAUUAAGAAUAUGAUAUGGUCACGAUUUCUUCAGUGUUAUUGUUUUUCUAUGAUCUUCAUCCUUGUAUUCCUAUAAAAAGAAAG
rnacentral:lncRNA from 1 species